ACAAAAAGCAGUUCCUGAAAGGACAGGGGCUUUUCCCCCAUGGUUCCCUACUGGUUCUUUGUGGCCAUGCUGGCCCCUAUGGCGUUGGCUCUGGAACAGUCCCCAGACACAGUGAUACGACAAGGCCAGUCCACGAAUCUGAGCUGUUCCAAGAAGAAAUCCUCCAGCACAGCUAUGUACUGGUACAAACUGCCUUUGGGGAAGGACUCCGGGCUGAGGCUAGUGUCUUCUGCAAUAGAAGGUGUUGAAGUAACCAUUGAGGAGGAUCUCCGAAACCAUAUUAAGAGCAGUGAGAUACAAGGCGACGGGAUGACCCUCUUCAUAGAGCAUGCCUUUCUCAAUGACUCUGGCAUGUACUAUUGUGCUGAGAGUGAAACACAGUGGCUAGGCUGCUGA